rnacentral:rRNA from 1 species
UACGUAUGGUGCAGGCGUUAUCCGGAUUUACUGGGCGUAAAGGGAGCGCAGGCGGCGCGCCAAGUCUGAUGUGAAACCCCGGGGCUCAACCCCGGGCAUGCAUUGGAAACUGGCGGGCUGGAGUGCCGGAGAGGUAAGCGGAAUUCCUAGUGUAGCGGUGAAAUGCGUAGAUAUUAGGAGGAACACCAGUGGCGAAGGCGGCUUACUGGACGGCAACUGACGCUGAGGCUCGAAAGCGUGGGGAGCAAACAGG